CAAGGGGUAGUUUAAUCUAAAAUACUGGCUUUGGGAGUCAGUGAGGGGAGUGUAAGCCUCCUUCCCUUGA
rnacentral:tRNA from 1 species